rnacentral:lncRNA from 1 species
GCUCAUAACUAGAUUAUAAGUUUAUUUAUUUAAAUACGAGAAAGAUUUCAAAGCUCCAAAUGGCUUUAAGCGGUCAAGUGGACUUUAAAAAAAGUUGUACCCAUAGCCAACGGCAUUCUACUUGUCCUGUGUUUUAGUUUGGUUCCAAAACUGUCGAAAUAUCUCGCAACGCACUGCCUUCGUUGAGUCAGCUGGAAGAGCUAGUAAGCUUUUUGGAAAGCAAACCAUGUUUGAUUAUGAUGGGCCAUGCUCGUACUGCGAAUGCGAGCAUGCAUGCAUGAUCCGUAAACAACAGCCCUAAACAGUGAAGUAGUGGGUGUAUGAAAAUAUUGGAGCAGUGGUGUAAGUACUGGAAGGACAAAAAGGAGCAGUUCAGAGGAAGUCCAGUUCUAUUGCAGCUGCGAGCCAACAUGAAUUUGCCAGAACUCGGUGUAAUCAAGUUAAAAAUACAUUCUAUUAUGCAAGGAGAAUGUUUUGGAAUCUGAAUUUAAAAAUAAAU